UUAACUACAAAGCUGAAUACAGUGUGAUCAGCGGUGGAAAAGCUCUAAGACUAAUGAUGCUACCAGCAUGGGAAGUGUAUCUCUAUGUGUUUAUUACAGUUGGCUCUCACUUUUAUUCUUUCUAUGAAGUGUACAAAGUUUCUAGAAAGUAUGAAGAAGAAAUUGACAGAAAUUUUGGACUGGAACAGGGCAUUCUGUUUCGGGGCCUUAAAAAGAUUUUGUUGACACAGUUAGAUACUUCUCUCCAUCUGUAUAGCCAGACUCCUGUAGUCUCCUGAAUCCAAAGCUCCAUGAAGAUCAAGAAAAAAGCCUCUAAGCAUAGGUACUGCAUAGGUACUGUUUUUUUCUAAAUGUGCCAAUACAUAGAGGAGUGCUUCUGUAUUAGAGGGACUCUGG
rnacentral:lncRNA from 1 species